UAUAAUAAGGAUAUUAAAAAGUUAUAUUUAGCUAAAUAAUAAAUAACUUAACUUUCCAAGUAUCGGCUUCUAACUAAUCAUCAGUUCUUCAACUUAACUUGUGCCGACGUAAACCUCAUGUUCUUCAAGCUCCAACCUUCAAGCACAUGCCAUUUUUCAGAAAUUAGAGUUUAUAAAUUUUCAAUUUCUAAUUAGCAAACAAAAGAAGGAAAAUAACCGAACAUGACUUUUGAAGGAACACUAGCAUGCAACUUAAUAAAAUUAAAAAUUAGCUACUAAGCCUAUCAUGGAAUUAUUUAAAGACGAGGUAGAGGUACUAAUCUUAGAAAUAGAAAUUGAAAUAGUAAACAAAAUAAGAAAAUUAAAAAGUCAUAUUUAUCUAAAGAAUAAAGAACUUAACCUUUCAAGUAUCAGCUUCUAACUGAUCAUAAGUUUUUCAACUUAACUUGUGCCGACGCAAACUUUAUGUUCUUCGAGCUCCAACCUUCAAGCACAUAACAU
rnacentral:lncRNA from 1 species